rnacentral:snRNA from 1 species
UUGCUUCCGCAGCACAUAUACUAAAAUUGGAACAAUACGGAGACAAAGCAUGGCCCCUGCNCAAGGAUGACGUGCAAAUUUGUGAAGCAUCCCUUUUUUUA